AAAGUGCCAUAAUAGUUUAAGUUGUUGCAAUAAAUAAGAUUUGAAUCACAUAAUUCAUAUGCACCAAUUACUUGGGGAGAAACUUGUUAAGGAACGACAUUCUGAUAGGUGACGAGAAUGGGAGCAUGAACCGAUGAAAACUGAGAUCCACUGGUUUAGUUAUUUAAAAGAAGAGAAGAAGCUUUUUCAGUCUUAGCGUUUAAGCAUGCCUUCAUAGUGUAAUUGGAAGCAUAUCCGACUAGCAAUCAGAAGAUCCGGAGUUCGAGGGCAUUGCACAUUUUUCACGUCUCCUGCUCCUAAAUGACUUUGCAGUGAGUUUGACUUUGCAAUAUAUACGCGGGACUUUCAGAACUUACGCAUGAAGCAGUAACUCGUUGAUUUCUCCUGUGAUUUCUACCAAAAUAUUCUGAAUCAUUUUCAGGUAUAUGGAGAGCUUAACAGUCGCUCAUGUUCCCGGAAGCUCCAGUAUUUCACUAGUCCAUAUCUAGCUCCAGUGCUUAUCACGCAUUCUAUCAGGGACAGUUCAGUAAAAUGUGGAACCCGUAUUUUCCUCGCACCCUUCACAAUCCUUAAACUAUUCGCUCGUUCGACAAUCAUACCCCUUUCCCAACAACUUUUGAAAAGGAUUGAAACACAUUAGUUUAUAUGUCAUUUUACCGAAGACUGCACUUGGGAGCCUUCAUUCCAGGAAAUUAUGAAACAACGAUACUUCCAUCUGCGGUAUUACCUGGCAGAUAUGCUAACUUUCCCAGAAAAUCGGAUGCCCCAGUGCCGUAUAGAAACGUAUACUAGAAGGUAUAAAGGUGUAAUGCCCAUAGCCCGAGAAGGAGAAGGAAAAGCUUGGCCAGCAGAAUAAUUAGUCCGACGGAGCCAUCCGUGGCGGGCGCCGAGUGGUUUUUGGAAGGAAAUAAUGAAAAACAUGAAAAAAAAAGAGAGAUAGGACAAAAGGAGACAAUGAGGGCAAGGGGACUUUGUCUCCUUUCGGACCGUCCGACAUCCGAAAGGAUGUCGGACGGGACGGUUCGAUUUUUUGUGGCUGAAGGGCCGUCGCCAUUUUUCUGGUUAUGCAGAGAUUGUUUUCUCAUCCGGCGGAGACCAAUGCCGGACAUACCUAUUCAUGCUUCUACCUAUAAUGUGUAAUAAUCAAGAAUUGUUUACUUAUUAAAGUUUAAUGUUAAACAAACAA
rnacentral:lncRNA from 1 species